rnacentral:rRNA from 1 species
CUUGCUGGGUGGAUUAGUGGCGAACGGGUGAGUAACACGUGAGUAACCUGCCCUUGACUCUAGGAUAAGCCCGGGAAACUGGGUCUAAUACUGGAUAGGAACGUCUACCGCAUGGUGGAUGUUGGAAAGAAUUUCGGUCAUGGAUGGACUCGCGGCCUAUCAGCUUGUUGGUGAGGUAAUGGCUCACCAAGGCGACGACGGGUAGCCGGCCUGAGAGGGUGACCGGCCACACUGGGACUGAGACACGGCCCAGACUCCUACGGGAGGCAGCAGUGGGGAAUAUUGCACAAUGGGCGAAAGCCUGAUGCAGCGACGCCGCGUGAGGGAUGACGGCCUUCGGGUUGUAAACCUCUUUCAGUAGGGAAGAAGCGAAAGUGACGGUACCUGCAGAAGAAGCACCGGCUAACUACGUGCCAGCAGCCGCGGUAAUACGUAGGGUGCGAGCGUUAUCCGGAAUUAUUGGGCGUAAAGAGCUCGUAGGCGGUUUGUCGCGUCUGUCGUGAAAGUCCGGGGCUUAACCCCGGAUCUGCGGUGGGUACGGGCAGACUAGAGU